UACGAAGGGGGCUAGCGUUGCUCGGAAUUACUGGGCGUAAAGGGCGCGUAGGCGGAUAGUUUAGUCAGAGGUGAAAUCCCGGGGCUCAACCUCGGAACUGCCUUUGAUACUGGCUGUCUUGAGUAUGGGAGAGGUGUGUGGAACUCCGAGUGUAGAGGUGAAAUUCGUAGAUAUUCGGAAGAACACCAGUGGCGAAGGCGACACACUGGCCCAUUACUGACGCUGAGGCUCGAAAGCGUGGGGAGCAAACAGG
rnacentral:rRNA from 1 species